CACCAGCGCCACAAGUGGGGACCAGUAUUAUUGGGUCUAAAGCGUCCGUAGCCGGAUUAGUAAAUCUUCUGUGAAAUUGUUGGGCUUAACCUAACAGCGUGCAGGAGAGACUGUUAAUCUUGAGACCGGGAGGAGUCAGAGGUAUUCAUGGGGUAGCGGUAAAAUGCAAUAAUCCCAUGAGGACCACCUGUGGCGGAGGCGUCUGACUAGAACGGGUCUGACGGUGAGGGACGAAAGCUGGGGGAGCGAUCCGG
rnacentral:rRNA from 1 species